rnacentral:rRNA from 1 species
UACGUAGGGGGCAAGCGUUGUCCGGAGUUACUGGGCGUAAAGCGCCCGCAGGCGUUCGAUUAAGUUUGGAGUGACAGUUGGUGGCUUAACUGCCAAAGUGCUUUGAAAACUGAUCGACUUGAGGGCUUCAGAGGGACACGGAAUUCCGGGUGGAGUGGUGAAAUGCGUAGAGAUCCGGAGGAACACCGAAGGCGAAGGCAGUGUCCUGGGGAGUACCUGACGCUCAGGUGCGAAAGCCAGGGGAGCGAACGGG